UCUCCUUCUUCUGAUCCCUUCCCUGCCUUGGAUAAUGGGGUCUCCAACAAAAGGAAAAGAAAACCUGCAGGAACACCAGAUCCAGAUGCAGAGGUUGUCUCUCUAUCUCCCAGGACCUUGCUGGAAUCAGAUAGAUAUGUUUGUGAGAUCUGUAACCAAGGGUUUCAAAGAGACCAGAACCUACAAAUGCAUAGGAGAAGACACAAAGUGCCUUGGAAGUUGUUGAAGAGGGAGACACAAGAAGUGAAGAAGAGAGUUUAUGUAUGCCCAGA
rnacentral:misc_RNA from 1 species